UAAAGAUUAUAAAGCAGAUGGUCUCCUAAUUGGUAACUUAUCCCUUUUGAUUGGCUGAGUUGGUUGUUCUCUAGAUUCCUGUGUUGGUUGGGGUGGUGGUUCAGAUGGUUGUGUCAUUUCCUGAGCUGGUGGUUGGGUGCUGCUUCAGAUGGUUGUGGUAAGUCUGGUUGAUCUUGAGAUGUAAUGGGCAAUGAUUUCUGUUAUGCCCAAUAAUAUGACAAAUGUUGCAUUUUUUUUUUUGCGGUGGCUACCUUUGGUCAUCUGGGUUUCAUCCCUCCUUAGCUCUCAACUCUCCAACCUUCUCUUUUUCUUUGGUCUACCAGGUAAUUUUCUUUUAAAUGGUGGGAUGACGUCUGGGAAGGAUGUUUUUUCCCAUAAAAGGUGGUCAUUCACUGGAUAUAUGAUGGAGGCAUAUGUUUCAUCAUACGUGGACCUUCUGAACCAAAUUGGUUAUUGGAAUGAUUUCAAAGAAGAGCAAAAGUAUCAAGGAGUUGGAAUUUAAGAGGGACAGGUAAUGAGAGAAUACGGAAAACAGAGAUGAAGAACCAAGGAGACAGAGCUCAGAAAGGCCUGGAAAAGCACUUGGGAAUUCGACAUACACUGCCCGGGCGCCCCUCUUGGGCUCUUGAGCGUCGAGCCUCGAAGCUUGGGCGCCCAACUGGAAGCUCAAGCUUACAUGAGCUCUGCUCACCGCCCGGGCGCCCUAGGUGGGGUGCUUGAGCGUCAGGAUUCGCGGGUCAGUCCCAGUUUUUGCUCUGUUUUGACAAUUUUGGACCGGACCCUAUUUCUACUCUUUUCCGACUCUAUUUAAAGGAUCCAGGCGCUCUAGGUUUUCUAUCUCUGGAUUGAGCAACACAACAACACACUCUUCUACUCUCUGAAGGCAGGUUUGGAUACGGGAGCGUCCAUCCUCUACUUUUAGGGUUCUUCUAUCUCAUGCUUUUCCAUUGUUCAUCUAGUUUCUCUAUGUCUAUGAGGAACUAAACUCUAUUUGUUAUUAGGGAAUGAUGUAACCUUCUAAACUCUCAUGUAUUUGAAUUUAUUCUUAAUUUAUAUGUUUUUUCAUUAA